rnacentral:lncRNA from 1 species
GUCACCCUACCAUCAGAAACUAGUCAUCUGUGGCUAAACUUGGUAUAUAGAAGGCAACCCUUCAGUCCUAAAUGAGCCUUACAUUUGUGGCUUCGGAUAAAAAGCUUCAUUCUCGGGAUGGUUAGUAAGGUUUUAUGAUGAUUAGCAGUAUACAACGAGAUCAUUGGCCUCGACGUCAACUAGUGUAUUUUUUUUCUCUUUCACAGCCAUAGUUGAGUUUAUUUUUUUAGAAAAGCCUCUAAUGAUAGGUGUACAAUAAACUUGCAUGAAAAUAUCUCAAAGAAAGGCCCUUUUCUUUCAUUUUCAUUCAAUCAUUCUUUGGAAGUAGAUGAGAUCCUUGAUUCAUUUAAAGAACUUCAUCGUGCAAAAGUUGGGUGUCCCAACCUUUGGAUAGAUACUACUUUUACAAGGGAAAAAUAACAUAAGGAAAACAACGUAAAUGGAAUAAUUGACCAAGACAUAUAAGCUAGUGAUUUGUUGUAUUCUUCAAUCUAGCACCUGAUGAGGCGGAAGCUGAUUGAAGGAGGCAUAGGAAAUUUUCCCAGGUUAUGGAGGUUGAUAUUGUUAAGCAUUGUAUAUCUCUAAGUAAUUUUUUUACAAAAAAUAUGCUUUAAAUAAUGUAUAUUUUACUAGUUGCUGAGCAUAAAAACAUUUAACAGAGUUUCGUAUAUAUAGCGAUAAAAACUUUCCAUCAAAAUUAACUUUACACAUUAAUGUAUUUAUCGGUUCCUUUCUAUUGAAUUGAAGCACUAAAAAUA